rnacentral:lncRNA from 1 species
AAAAAAUACAAUGACGCUCACAAUGAUUAGCCUGGAAUCUUUUAUGAGUUUUUUUAUGUUGUACGUCUGUUAAGGGGGCUCCUGGGUAUAAAUCAAUUUUUAUUCUAAUAUAGGAUUUCGCUAUAUUUUUUCAUAAAUGAACUUUAUCAUAUACUUAAAAGAAAAAUGAAAUAAAAAAAUGGGGUCACCGUUCAUUUAAGCUCACAAUUUGCCUCUGAAAGAAGCAUACAUUUUUGUUAAUGUCCUUUUUUCUGUUGAACUAACAGGAGAAAUAGAGGUAAUAUCGAAAUAAAAAAAUAACCUAAUUACAGAAAUCGCUUAAAUUUUACAAUUAUUUAGUUUAUGUACAGCUUAUUUGAAAAGAUUAAU